rnacentral:rRNA from 1 species
UACGUAGGCAGCGAGCGUUGUUCGGAGUUACUGGGCGUAAAGGGUGUGUAGGCGGUUUUUCUAAGUUUGGUGUGAAAUCUCCCGGCUUAACCGGGAGGGUGCGCCGAAAACUGGGAGACUAGAGUGCGGGAUGGGAGAGUAGAAUUCCUGGUGUAGCGGUGAAAUGCGUAGAUAUCAGGAGGAAUACCGGUGGUGCAGACGGCUCUCUGGACCGCAACUGACGCUGAGACACGAAAGCGUGGGUAGCAAACAGG